GUAAGUUGGGUAGUUAAUUUCGGGACUUACGUUUUUAGAUAAACAGAUUUUGUUUAAUAUCAAAAUCUAGUUCUGAGGAAGGUUCGCCCACCCUUGAUAAUUUAUCAAGACAAGUCAUCCUUGAAAAAGGACUGCUGUAAGGUAGAGCUCUGUUACAGAAACGACACAGCUUGCUUUGAGUUAUGAAUCAUGCGAGAAACUUUGAAAAGCAAGAUUUGAUGAGACGAGCAUCUUGACUGGUGCAAGGCCAUAUGAGCCGCAUAGUCAAAUAUUAACACGAACUAUUCGAUACAGAGAUUAAAAUCUCUGUCCCUAAAACUCUCACGAGUUUUUGGUUACGAAGUUCGACAGAAGGCGACCUAUUCCUAACUUAC
rnacentral:RNase_P_RNA from 1 species